AUCCAAGUGAUCAGUUUUUCAGUACGGCCCAAAAACGAAAUAAAUCUUCGUCACUUUUGUAUGGAAAUGUGUGCCAACGUCACUUUGUUUUCUCACGGCAGUUUAGGUCACAUUUUUUUUCUGGCAUGAAUUUGGAAUGAUAUUUUCGUUUGAACACUAUAUCCACUAAAAUUAUGAUCAAUGAAUAAAGUAAAAUGCGUUCACGUGUCGGGUUUGUUCUAGAGCUAACGAAAAUCACGAAAAUUAUACAAUAACACAGCUUAAGAGAGAUUUAAUCAUUAGCUGUAAGCAAUGAUAGACUUUGAAGUCGAACUAACUAUGGUGACGACUUAAAGGAAAAUCUACACUCUAUUUCAUACAAUGGCAAACCGUGUGACGAGUGUUGGAAGUACUCACACUAUGCAGAAGUGCCCAUAAUUAUACAGAGCAAAACACAAAAAGCCAACCAAAUCGUAGGCUUCGAUUUAUGAGAACCUGCAGGUAGUUGUCAUUUCAAGCGCAGAUUUGUAUGCAACAAAGUGAAAAUAACAAAGCGAUGAAUUAUGACCAAACGACAAUAAUGGUGAGUAAUGCCAGUGCAUGCAUAGGAAACCGGUUGCGAUUGCUAGUCAGAUUCCCAGUUGAUACAAUACUACUCUAAGUACACUUAUUUGCACGUGAUGAACGACCGGCAGCAGCUCAGUCAGUCAGUCGGUACUAUUUUUUUGUCACUCUCGGGAAAUGAUCCAAUUAGUAGUUAUUUUACUUUUGUCAGUCUGUCUAGUGAGGAACCAGGAAGUCUCCUCUCGAACGUAUGACAUUUCCGACUCUAAUAAACAAUAUACAACGCGUUUGCCAACCACAACGACAAUGGAAGUUGAAUCGCAGCCCCUUGAUGUUGACGAUGUGGAAUUGAACUGCGGCCGGAUACCCGUUUGUGGAAAAAUUUGUUGUAAAUCUGGUGAUUUCGGUAAAUAAAUGCUAUUAAAGACAUCA